UUGCAUCCAAGAUGCAGGAUUUAAAUAGCUGAAAUAAGAAUUUUGCAUCUCAGUAAUUUUUUAGAUUAAAGUUUAUAUUAAAAAAUAAUUGAUUGACUUGACUUGAGCAGGAUGUGGUGCCUUCUAGGAUGCAAUUGCAACAGUCAGUGUUAUUGAUGAAUACAAGCUUCUGAAGUCAUACCACUAAAAUCUUCAUAACUAUAAAUACAGCGCUAGUACAGAGAGAGAAUGCCUUCCUAAACAUUGUGACUUAUUUGAAAGUGAAAAUAGUUUGGAUAACUAUUAAGAAGAGUACUUUAUUUUUACUGCAGAGAUUGUGUUUGCGCUGGUAAGGGCUUGUCUACAGAGGUUACUUGUACAUAAAGUAACAGGUUUGGCUGUUUGGCUCAAAAGUGGCACAGCUCCCUGAGUAGGUGGCAGAAAUCUCAGGGGGAACCCCAGGAAGAGCACAGUGUCUGUAUUCUCUGGCAGUGACACCUAGAACCUUCUCUGCAGGAUCCAGCAGAGACCUGAGUGAAGACAGAAGGCUUGAGAUAACAGUUGCAGCCAAGAAUGGAGCAAAGCUGAUGAUACCAUGCCCUUCACCUGCCACCAGCACCUUGGCUGUAAAGUGGGCCACCAUAGACCCUUGGGAGGAAGAUGAAACACAGUUAAUGGCAGUCAUAGCGUGAAUAGCUCCUCCUUGGGGUUUUUUAGGCUUUCAGUCCCAUCAGGCCUGUUUGUGUCUGAUACCACACCCUACAAGUGGUGUUCUCUGGACUCACCGUACAUGUGGAGGUGACUCCAUCCCUACCAGUGCAAACCAUGAUGGGUUUCACUGUGCCUCCCCAGCAGCUAGGCUUGGAGCAAGUGCAUAAUCUACCACCAGCAAAAGGCCUUGCUGCAGGUCAUCUGGAAGAGCUCCAUUUGCUGUGAGGGAAAAGAAACAAAGGAAUUAUACUGCCAGCUGGCACUGAAGAAAGAACAAAACCACAUUAACUCAUUUCUCCCAGGAUCUGGAUACUGUCCCUCCAGAUCAAGUUGUGUGCAUUUCAGCAUGCCAUACUUCUUCAAUAAACCAAACUGUAAUCACUUUGAAGUGGAAGAUGUUUCAAGCAAUACAAAAAAACAGCUGUCCAUGAUAAUGGAGAAAUGCUGCUGUAGUGGGCCUAGUCUAAACAGGCUGAAGUAUCUUUCUUGGACUCAGUGGGCAUCCUACUGUUGGCGGUUCUGAGUGAACAUCAAAAGCAUCAGCCUCCAGCUGAUACCAUGGUGGCUUGGAAACAGCACCCUGAAGGUCUUAUCAUCUUCAUGCCAGAUGUUUCACAGAGACUAAGCAGCUCAUGGAACUUCAGUAAGAAAGAGCAGGAACUUCCGGUAUGUUCUGUUAAAGCCUAAUAACUCUUUCAAUACACAGUGUACUUAGUGCACAAUUUAUAAUGUAAUCCAUU